GGUAUGUAGGUGGCAAGCGUUACUCGGAAUCAACUAGGCGUAAAGCGCAGGUAGGCGGUUCGGUAAAGUCCUCUUGUGAAAGCUCCCGGCUCAACUGGGGAGGGUCAUUCGAUACUGAUCGACUCGAAGGGCAGGAGAGGGGUAGUGGAAUUCCCGGUGUAGUGGUGAAAUGCGUAGAUAUCGGGAGGAACACCAGUGGCGAAGGCGACUACCUGGCCUGUUCUUGACGCUGAGGUGCGAAAGCGUGGGGAGCAAACAGG
rnacentral:rRNA from 1 species